rnacentral:rRNA from 1 species
AGAGUUGAUCCUGGCUCAGAUUGAACGCUGGCGGCGUGCCUACACAUGCAAGUCGAACGGUAACAGGCUGAGAGAGCCUUCGGGUGAUCUCGGUGCUGACGAGUGGCGAACGGGUGAGUAAUGCUUGGGAAUCUGCCUGUUAGUGGGGGAUAACCCGGGGAAACUCGGGCUAAUACCGCAUACGCUCUACGGAGGAAAGCUGGGGACCGCAAGGCCUGGCGCUAACAGAUGAGCCCAAGUCGGAUUAGCUAGUUGGUAGGGUAACGGCCUACCAAGGCGACGAUCCGUAGCUGGUCUGAGAGGACGACCAGCCAUACUGGGACUGAGACACGGCCCAGACUCCUACGGGAGGCAGCAGUGGGGAAUAUUGGACAAUGGGCGGAAGCCUGAUCCAGCGACGCCGCGUGGGUGAAGAAGGCCUGCGGGUUGUAAAGCCCUUUCGGUGGGGAAGAAAAGCUUCGACCUAAUACGUCGAGGUCUUGACGUAACCCACAGAAGAAGCACCGGCUAACUCUGUGCCAGCAGCCGCGGUAAUACAGAGGGUGCGAGCGUUAAUCGGAAUUACUGGGCGUAAAGCGCGCGUAGGCGGCUUUGCAAGUCGGGUGUGAAAUCCCUGGGCUUAACCUAGGAACUGCACUCGAGACUGCAUUGCUAGAGUAUGGUAGAGGGAAGUGGAAUUUCCGGUGUAGCGGUGAAAUGCGUAGAUAUCGGAAGGAACACCAGUGGCGAAAGCGACUUCCUGGACCAAUACUGACGCUCGGGCGCGAAAGCGUGGGGAGCAAACAGGAUUAGAUACCCUGGUAGUCCACGCCAUAAACGAUGAGAACUGGAUGUCGGGAGGGUCUGCCUCUCGGUGUCGUAGCUAACGCGUUAAGUUCUCCGCCUGGGGAGUACGGCCGCAAGGUUGAAACUCAAAUGAAUUGACGG